rnacentral:rRNA from 1 species
AUACGUAUGUCGCAAGCGUUAUCCGGAUUUAUUGGGCGUAAAGCGCGUCUAGGCGGCUUAGUAAGUCUGAUGUGAAAAUGCGGGGCUCAACCCCGUAUUGCGUUGGAAACUGUUAAACUAGAGUACUGGAGAGGUAGGCGGAACUACAAGUGUAGAGGUGAAAUUCGUAGAUAUUUGUAGGAAUGCCGAUGGGGAAGCCAGCCUACUGGACAGAUACUGACGCUAAAGCGCGAAAGCGUGGGUAGCAAACAGGAUUAGAUACCCUGGUAGUCCACGCCGUAAACGAUGAUUACUAGGUGUUGGGGGUCGAACCUCAGCGCCCAAGCUAACGCGAUAAGUAAUCCGCCUGGGGAGUACGUACGCAAGUAUGAAACUCAAAUGAAUUGGCGGGG